rnacentral:rRNA from 1 species
UGGGGAAUUGUUCGCAAUGGGCGCAAGCCUGACGACGCAACGCCGCGUGGGGGAUGAAGGUCUUCGGAUUGUAAACCCCUGUCGAACGGGACGAAUGGCCCCUGAGUUAAUACCUUGGGGGAUUGACGGUACCGUUAAAGGAAGCCACGGCUAACUCUGUGCCAGCAGCCGCGGUAAUACAGAGGUGGCAAGCGUUGUUCGGAAUUACUGGGCGUAAAGGGCGCGUAGGCGGCCUUCUAAGUCAGACGUGAAAUCCCCCGGCUCAACCUGGGAACUGCGUCUGAUACUGGAAGGCUUGAGUGCGGGAGAGGGAUGCGGAAUUCCAGGUGUAGCGGUGAAAUGCGUAGAUAUCUGGAGGAACACCGGUGGCGAAGGCGGCAUCC